UUGGUACACUUCCGGUCCAAGCAGCCGGCGCAGUACCAUCUUGAUAAUCGCCAUCCCAUCGACCAGUCACUACUCCUUUGUCAUCGUUGGAGUUUACCUGUGGAUGUUAGAUUUUGUAUUAGAUUAAAGGAAAUAAAAAGAAUGAUUCAAUAACAAUCAAACUUACGAUUCUCGAAAUAGCUCUACACAUUUGAAUCGGAUCUCCUCUGGAAUUAGCUUUGAUACCAGAUCUUUCUAAUAGUAACUGACAAGCUUUAAGCACAUAUGCAUCGAAUUGACCGAAUAUCCACUCUCUACCGCGUGCACUUCCCCAUGCUCCGACCCAAAUUUUUCCAACAUCAUUUAGAAUAUAUUCAUCCAGAAGUUGUUCAUCUUCCAUGUAAACUAAAUCCUCUAAAAAUAAAAACAUAUGAUAUUAAUAAAUAUAUAAAUACAUAA